GUGGGGAAUCUUCCGCAAUGGACGAAAGUCUGACGGAGCAACGCCGCGUGAGUGAUGAAGGUCUUCGGAUUGUAAAGCUCUGUUAAUCGGGACGAAAGAGCCUAGUGUGAAUAAUGCUAGGAAGUGACGGUUCCGGAAUAGAAAGCCACGGCUAACUACGUGCCAGCAGCCGCGGUAAUACGUAGGUGGCAAGCGUUGUCCGGAAUUAUUGGGCGUAAAGCGCGCGCAGGCGGAUCUGCCAGUCUGUCUUAAAAGUUCGGGGCUUAACCCCGUGAUGGGAUGGAAACGACAGAUCUAGAGUAUCGGAGAGGAAAGUGGAAUUCCUAGUGUAGCGGUGAAAUGCGUAGAUAUUAGGAAGAACACCAGUGGCGAAGGCGACUUUCUGGACGAAAACUGACGCUGAGGCGCGAAAGCCAGGGGAGCGAACGGGAUUAGAUACCCCAGUAGUCC
rnacentral:rRNA from 1 species